rnacentral:rRNA from 1 species
AUUGAACGCUGGCGUCAGGCCUAACACAUGCAAGUCGAACGAGUGGCGGACGGGUGAGUACUGUCUGGGAAACUGCCUGAUGGAGGGGGAUAACUACUGGAAACGGUAGCUAAUACCGCAUACCAUCAGAUGUGCCCAGAUGGGAUUAGCUUGUUGGUGGGGUAACGGCUCACCAAGGCGACGAUCCCUAGCUGGUCUGAGAGGAUGACCAGCCACCAUGGAACUGAGACACGGUCCAGCUCCCUAGGGGAGGCAGAAGUGGGGAAUAUUGCACAAGGGGCGCAAGCCGGAUGCAGCCAUGCCGCGUGUAUGAAGAGGUCCUUCGGGUUGUAAAGUACUUUCAGCGGGGAGGCGUUACCCGCAGAAGAAGCACCGGCUAACUCCGUGCCAGCAGCCGCGGUAAUUC